CAGGGAUUGCCCUAGUAACGGCGAGUGAAGCGGCAACAGCUCAAAUUUGAAAUCUGGCUUCGGCCCGAGUUGUAAUUUGUAGAGGAAGCUUUAGGCGCGGCACCUUCUGAGUCCCCUGGAACGGGGCGCCAUAGAGGGUGAGAGCCCCGUAUAGUUGGAUGCCUAGCCUGUGUAAAGCUCCUUCGACGAGUCGAGUAGUUUGGGAAUGCUGCUCAAAAUGGGAGGUAAAUUUCUUCUAAAGCUAAAUACCGGCCAGAGACCGAUAGCGCACAAGUAGAGUGAUCGAAAGAUGAAAAGCACUUUGAAAAGAGGGUUAAAUAGCACGUGAAAUUGUUGAAAGGGAAGCGCUUGUGACCAGACUUGCGCCGGGCUGAUCAUCCGGUGUUCUCACCGGUGCACUCUGCCCGGCUCAGGCCAGCAUCGGUUCUCGCGGGGGGAUAAAGGCCCAGGGAAUGUAGCUCCUCCGGGAGUGUUAUAGCCCGGGGCGCAAUGCCCUCGCGGGGACCGAGGUUCGCGCUCUGCAAGGAUGCUGGCGUAAUGGUCAUCAGCGACCCGUCUUGAAACACGGACCAAGGAGUCAAGGUUUUGCGCGAGUGUUUGGGUGUAAAACCCGCACGCGUAAUGAAAGUGAACGUAGGUGAGAGCUUCGGCGCAUCAUCGACCGAUCCUGAUGUUUUCGGAUGGAUUUGAGUAAGAGCGUUAAGCCUUGGACCCGAAAGAUGGUGAACUAUGCUUGGAUAGGGUGAAGCCAGAGGAAACUCUGGUGGAGGCUCGCAGCGGUUCUGACGUGCAAAUCGAUCGUCAAAUCUGAGCAUGGGGGCGAAAGACUAAUCGAACCAUCUAGUAGCUGGUUACCGCC
rnacentral:rRNA from 1 species